rnacentral:rRNA from 1 species
CCUACGGGUGGCAGCAGUGAGGAAUAUUGGUCAAUGGCCGAGAGCCUGAACCAGCCAAGUCGCGUGAGGGAAGACGGCCCUACGGGUUGUAAACCUCUUUUGUCGGGGAGCAAAGCGAGUCACGUGUGACUCAUUGAGAGUACCCGAAGAAAAAGCAUCGGCUACCGCCGUUCCAGCAGCCGCGGUAAUACGGAGGAUGCGAGCGUUAUCCGGAUUUAUUGGGGUAACAGGGUGCGCAGGCGGACGUUCAAGUCAGCGGUCAAAUUGCGGGGCUCAACCCCGUACUGCCGUUGAAACUGCAUGCCUUGAGUGGGCGAGAAGUAUGCGGAAUGCGUGGUGUAGCGGUGAAAUGCAUAGAUAUCACGCAGAACUCCGAUUGCGAAGGCAGCAUACCGGCGCGCAACUGACGCUGAUGCACGAAAGCGUGGGUAUCGAACAGGAUUAGAUACCCUUGUAGUC